CGGUGCUGCACUUGGUCCAGGAGCCCCAUGGGGUCCAGAAGAUAGGCUGAGGACAGGACACCCCUUCAUUGCAGAACCUGUGAAGAUGGCAGCGACAGCAGGAUGAGGGUAGCCCCUACCGUGGAGAAGACAGUGGUCUUAAUAGACAAACACUUCUCUGAAGUGAAGUGACACACAGUUUGCUGGAACUUUUACAGUAUGGUGAGCUCUUGAGAUCUUUCCUUUCCUCCUAAAGCAAGCUUAUCAACCAAUCAGCAUUUCUAUAACUUUAUAGUCUAAUCAACAUUAGGCAUUGUGCUGUUAGGCCUCAGUCACGCAGUCUUAACAGCACGUUGAGACCUGUUGGCAACCACAUAUACGGUGCUGCACUAAAAACCACCUUGUGAUUAGUUUGGUCACUAGCUAUAAGUAAGUAAGUAAGUAAAAUUUAUUUAUAUAGCACUUUUUAAAACAAAAAGCUGUUACAAAGUGCUUCACAUGGGAAUGAAGGCAUGUCAAAC